UUAGCUCAUGGUUAAACUCAAUGGUCUUUAAGGUCUUUUCCAACCUGAGCAAUUCUAUGAUUCUACAGUGCUAUGAUUCUAUGAUUAUGAAGUUUUACACGUUCUUUAAGUCUACUGUCUUUCAGGCAUACACUAGUGCAGACGAUAUUUGAAUAAAAAAUGAGGAGAGCUAACCUACUGUCAUGGUUUUGUCUGGGACAGAGUCAAUUUUCUUUGUAGAGGCUCAUAUGAUGAUAUGUUUAGAAUUUGUUUAUGAAAGUGUUGGUGAUAACACGCUGAUGGUUUAAUUACUGCAGAGCAGUGCUUACACAAAGCCAAAUACUCUUAUGACCUUUAUGCAGCCCUGCCAGCGAAGGGCUGGGCAUGCACAAGGAAUUAGGAAGGGACACAGCCAGGACAGCUGACCCAGACUUGCCAAAGGGAUAUUCCAUACUGUAUGGUAUCAUGGUAAACAUUAAAAAAUGGGGGAAAGAAGAAAAGAAGGGGUGAACAUUUGGAGUGAAGGCAUUUGUCUUCCCAAGAAACCAUUAUGUGAAAGGGAUGAUCCUUCUGGAUUUCCUGCAACCCUGAUAAACCAUCAACUCUGCUACACUGUGACACUGACUGAGCAGAAGACUCCAACUUCCAGAAUCAGGCCAGAGAGGAAAACAAACUUUCUUUUGCAACACAAAAGACCCCAUAUCACUCUGAAGACUGCAAAGCACAUUGCCAAUCUUGUCUGGAUUUAUCCUACAACACCUACCACACCUACUAUAUAGUCUAGAUUUGGCACCUUCUGACUUACACCUGUUUGGGCUAAUGAAUGAUGGGUGGCAUGAGCAACAUCUUCCUAGUAACAAUGCUGUCACAGCAGCUGUGAAACAGUGCGUCACCUCCGCUGGUGCAGAUUUUUUAAGUACAGCAUGGAGGCUCUUGCUCACUGUCAGCAAAAAUGCACAGCUAAUGGUGGUGUUUAUGUUGAUAAACAGUCUCAUGAUUCUUAUGACUGGAUUUUUGAAAACAUUUUCAGCUUUUUAGGUAACACAGAAACUGAAGUUUGAAGUUUCCUGUGAACAGCUUAUACAAAAAGGCCAUACUCUACCUGGGAAAACUGAAAGCGUAUCAAGAACAAAUAGAGGCGGAGUGAUCUUCAUGGAAAGAACUGGAAUAAACUUUUCCAUUCACAGGAUUUUUAGCUCCACCUAACGGUCAGAAAGGAGACGAUUUUCCUGUCUGCCUCAUGUUUUCUGUAUAAUCGCUAUUCGAGAACAACUCACUAGAGUGCAUCAAAGCUAUACACGCCAUUGUAUCAAAAUAACACUGAUAGUGAGACAGCAACAAUAAUGGAGAAACACUGGCAGCCUUGCUUCAUGCAAUCAACAGCUCACGAACAUUUAGUAUCUCUGGAGCUAUCUAUGUCAAUAUUCAGCAUGGCUGUUCCAAAGAACAGUAUACGCCGGCUGUUACACUAUUCAUAACUUAAAUAAUAGGAAGGAUUCCUAGUAGGCAAAGAUUAGCAGUGUUUUAGGGAACUACAUGACUUUACAUUGGUGUAGAUCUGGUAAUUAUAUUCUGCUUUAUUUGCUGAAGCUUUGUUCUAUGUUGUGUCAGUUACUUGUGCAAUGUACUUCCUCUGGAUAAAAAAUAAAGUCCUUCGUUCACUCUACUCAGUGAUCUAUGCGCUAACAUAGCAUAGCUGCAUAACAUAAACAGCAUAUAGCAUAUAGCAUAGCAUACCAUAAGCAGCUGAAUUAUGAUAUCUACUUGCUUAGUCACUUGUUCCACAGGGCAAUUCUAUCCUAGACUGCAUGUAAAAGCAGAUAACCUUUCCAUUUUUUCCCUGCUUUGUAAUUCAUUGGGAGAUGAAUAUAGUAACAUAAGAGCUAUGCUGUAUAAUAAGAGAGGAUAAAGAGAAACCAAUAACGUAUCACAAGAUACUUCAAAAAACAUUUUAUUCACUAUUCUGUUUAAUAGGUUUAUAGCUUAAUGCAUAUUCUAUCUGCCACUACAGCAAUUGUCUUUCCUUGGGAAUUUCUGUGUAUUUUCUUUUUAAAAACAACAACAAAAAAAGUUGAGAGGAAGAAAAAAGGGUAGACAAAGGGAAUGAAAAGACCUGAGAAACAGGUUAGCAUGUGCUAACACCACUACUUGUAAUAGUCUGAAAAAAUAUAUAUACAAAAUAAUGCUUUAAAAAAUCAUAGUUUGUUCAAAAUUGAGAAGAAGGAGCUUGUUAAACAUAAAUUGUUCACUCUAACUUUGCAUUACAAUGCAUUGUUAUUAAUAUAGAAAAAAUUUGUGUUUGGAAGAAAAUUAGUAAACUCGUAACAGGAAUUAGAGAACCAUUGAAUAUACUGAGAUGGAAGGGAUCCAUUAGCAUCACUGAGUACAACUUCUGACUCUACACAGGGCAACCUAACAGUUAAACCAUUUAACAUAGGAGGUUCUCUUCCCCCUCCACAUUGCCCUGCUGAGGCCAAAUCUGGGGUUCUGUGUCCAGUUCCCGGCUCAUCAAUUCAAGAAAGACAGGACUACAAGAAAGAGUCCAGCAGAGGGCAACAAAGAUGAUUAAGCACCUCCCUUAUGAGGAAAGGCUGAAAGAUCUGGGACUGUUGAGCCUGGAAAAGAGAAAACUGAGAGGGUAUCUACACCAAUAAAUAUGGGCAAGUGUGAAAAGGAUGGAGCCAGGCUCUUUUCACUGGUGCCAAGGAAUAGGACAAAGGGAAAAGGGCACAAACUGGAACACAUCUAAACAUGAGGAAGAACUCCUUUGCUUUGGGGGUAACAGAGCACUGGAACAGGUUGUCCAUAGAAGUAGCGAAGUCUCCUUUUCUGGAGAUAUUCAUGACCUUCCUGGACACUUUCCUGUGCAGCCCUCUCUAAGGAAGUUGCUUUAGCAGGGGAUCAACUAGGUGAUCACAACAGGUCCCUUCCAAACCCUGCCAUUCUGUGAUCUCAAAGCAUUGUCCAGAUUGUUCUUGAACACUGACAUUGCUGGUGCUGCGAUCACUUCUCUGGAAAGCCUGUUCCAGCACUUGACCACCCUUCUAGUGAAGAAGCUUCCUAACACUCAGUGUGAAUUUCCUCAGUACACCCUAAGUUACUCCCUCUAGUCCUAUUGCUUUCACCAGAGAGAUCAGUGCCUCCCUCUCCACCCCCCACAAGGAAGAAGUUGUAGACCAUGAUGUCUUCCCUUGGUCUCUUCUUCUGUAAGGUGAACUAACCAAAUAUCUUCAAGCAUUCCUCAUAAGUUAUAGCCUCUAAACUUUUUACUGUAUUUGUUGCCCUCCUUUCAAUGCAUUCUUAGCAUCAAAAUAUAUGAUGCUGUGGAAUAUAACAAGCUAGUCUCACAUUAGAGUACAUAUUGAUACCGAUUUUAAUCACACUAAAGGUCCUUCACAUCUUUUUUAACACUGUAAGGAGCCUCUCUAUUUUAAACCUUUGCAAAUAAGAACACUUGUUAUUCUAGAAAUGUGGAAAUUAAGUCAAUUUAGACUUCAACCUACAGUACAGAGCUGUUCUGAAAUUCCUCUAAAUCACUAUGUAUAUAUUACACUGUCCAUAUAUACGCUCAUAACAUAAGACUCUAAAGGUAAACUUCUGCUGAUAUAUAGCUAUUAUUUGAUUCUGUUUCUCUAAAGAUCUUAAUGAAAUAUUGUCAUGGUUUUAUGAUUUUUUGUGAUUGUUACUGGUAUUCCACAUCAUAACAUCAUGUAGUGCACUGGAAGUUAUUGUGUUAACGCUCCAGUUCCAGGCACCUGUCUGGAAGACAAGAACUACAUUCUCCAGGGAGCUUUGCAGUCAGAGAGGAGAUAUAACCUCUGGCAAAGUCACCUGAUGUCCCCUUUUUCCUUAAGCUCUCCUCCAUGCUGCUCGCCUGACUGCACAUCUCACCUCAGCGUAUGGAGAGGCCUUCAGUUCUCAGACACUCUUUCUCUCAUUACAUUUGAUUUAUUAGCUUCAGUUCUAAGUAUAUUGUAUUAUAGUGUGUUGCAUUCCAAUACCAUAUUUAGUAAAUGAGUUUGUUUCUCCUCAGAUUGUUGCCACUGUUUUUAAUUAUUUUGGGGUUCCCUGUUUCCCCUUUCCAGAAGUGUGGAUCUGCAGAUCCCUCUGCCCGGCCAGUCACAGAACUGGGCCAUACCAGCCCGUAAACCGUCAACAUUUCUUGGUGGAGAAUGUGGGCAAAAUCUGCUUUUUAGCUUUUAGAAUGAAUCUCUCUCUGCUCUCGGAGAGCUUUGUUGGGAAAGUUUAUCUCUUUCGCAGGUGCUCACUGAAGACUUGACCUUGAAAGCCCAGGGGGACUGCCAGGUAUUCUGGGAUAUUUGUAAACUUUGAGUGCUGCUAUCUUGCUUCUGUGGAGAGAAAAAAAAGAAAAAAAAAUUCCAUCUAUUUUCUCUUUUACAUGUUUGCAGAGGGAGCUGCUAAUUUUACAGAACUUGUGAUUUCUAAGCAGGAUCCCAGUCUCCCCUUUGAAUCCUUUAUGCAUUUUUUGAAUAAUCAUCUGAUCACGUUGCUAAUCUCCCUGAAUGUGUUGCUCAUUGUUUCACUCAGGAUUUGUAUUUAUCAUAUUUUGAGGAAGCCUUCCCCAAAAC